CUCGUAGGUGGCCAACUAAGUCAGACGUGAAAUCCCUCGGCUUAACCGGGGAACUGCGUCUGAUACUGGAUGGCUGGAGUAUGGGAGAGGGAUGCGGAAUUCCAGGUGUAGCGGUGAAAUGCGUAGAUAUCUGGAGGAACACCGGUGGCGAAGGCGGCAUCCUGGACCAUUACUGACGCUGAGGAGCGAAAGCCAGGGGAGCAAACG
rnacentral:rRNA from 1 species